ACGAACGCUGGCGGCAUGCCUCACACAUGCAAGUCGAACGAACCCUUCGGGGUUAGUGGCGCACGGGUGCGUAACGCGUGGGAAUCUGCCCUUUGCUUCGGAAUAACUCAGGGAAACUUGUGCUAAUACCGGAUGAUGUCUUCGGACCAAAGAUUUAUCGGCAAGGGAUGAGCCCGCGUAGGAUUAGGUAGUUGGUGGGGUAAAGGCCUACCAAGCCGACGAUCCUUAGCUGGUCUGAGAGGAUGAUCAGCCACACUGGGACUGAGACACGGCCCAGACUCCUACGAGAGGCAGCAGUGGGGAAUAUUGGACAAUGGGCGCAAGCCUGAUCCAGCAAUGCCGCGUGAGUGAUGAAGGCCCUCGGGUCGUAAAGCUCUUUUACCAGGGAUGAUAAUGACAGUACCUGGAGAAUAAGCUCCGGCUAACUCCGUG
rnacentral:rRNA from 1 species